GAUCCUGGCUCAGGAUGAACGCUGGCGGCGUGCCUAACACAUGCAAGUCGAACGGGGUGUCUGAUCUUCGGACUGGACACUUAGUGGCGGACGGGUGAGUAACGCGUGGGUAACCUGCCUCAUACAGGGGGAUAGCAGUUGGAAACGACUGAUAAUACCGCAUAAGCGCACAGUACCGCAUGGUACAGUGUGAAAAAACUCCGGUGGUAUGAGAUGGGCCCGCGUCUGAUUAGCUUGUUGGCGGGGUAACGGCCCACCAAGGCGACGAUCAGUAGCCGGCCUGAGAGGGUGAACGGCCACAUUGGGACUGAGACACGGCCCAAACUCCUACGGGAGGCAGCAGUGGGGAAUAUUGCACAAUGGGGGAAACCCUGAUGCAGCCGACGCCGCGUGAAGGAUGAAGUAUUGCGGUAUGUAAACUUCUAUCAGCAGGGAAGAUGAUGACGGUACCUGACUAAGAAGCCCCGGCUAACUACGUGCCAGCCGCCGC
rnacentral:rRNA from 1 species